UACGGAGGGUGCAAGCGUUAUCCGGAUUCACUGGGUUUAAAGGGUGCGUAGGUGGGAAUGUAAGUCAGUGGUGAAAUCUCCGUGCUUAACAUGGAAACUGCCAUUGAUACUAUGUUUCUUGAAUUAUCUGGAGGUAAGCGGAAUAUGUCAUGUAGCGGUGAAAUGCUUAGAUAUGACAUAGAACACCAAUUGCGAAGGCAGCUCACUACUCAAUCAUUGACUCUGAGGCACGAAAGCGUGGGGAUCAAACAGG
rnacentral:rRNA from 1 species